rnacentral:rRNA from 1 species
GAGUUUGAUCCUGGUUCAGAUUGAACGCUAGCGGGAUGCUUUACACAUGCAAGUCGAACGGCAGCACGAGAGAGCUUGCUCUCUUGGUGGCGAGUGGCGGACGGGUGAGUAAUAUAUCGGAACGUGCCCAGUAGCGGGGGAUAACUACUCGAAAGAGUGGCUAAUACCGCAUACGCCCUACGGGGGAAAGGGGGGGAUUCUUCGGAACCUCUCACUAUUGGAGCGGCCGAUAUCGGAUUAGCUAGUUGGUGGGGUAAAGGCUCACCAAGGCAACGAUCCGUAGCUGGUUUGAGAGGACGACCAGCCACACUGGGACUGAGACACGGCCCAGACUCCUACGGGAGGCAGCAGUGGGGAAUUUUGGACAAUGGGGGAAACCCUGAUCCAGCCAUCCCGCGUGUAUGAUGAAGGCCUUCGGGUUGUAAAGUACUUUUGGCAGAGAAGAAAAGGUACCUCCUAAUACGAGGUACUGCUGACGGUAUCUGCAGAAUAAGCACCGGCUAACUACGUGCCAGCAGCCGCGGUAAUAC